rnacentral:rRNA from 1 species
GACGAACGCUGGCGGCGUGCCUAAUACAUGCAAGUAGAACGCUGAAGAGAGGAGCUUGCUCUUCUUGGAUGAGUUGCGAACGGGUGAGUAACGCGUAGGUAACCUGCCUUGUAGCGGGGGAUAACUAUUGGAAACGAUAGCUAAUACCGCAUAACAAUGGAUGACACAUGUCAUUUAUUUGAAAGGGGCAAUUGCUCCACUACAAGAUGGACCUGCGUUGUAUUAUCUAGUAGGUGAGGUAAUGGCUCACCUAGGCGACGAUACAUAGCCGACCUGAGAGGGUGAUCGGCCACACUGGGACUGAGACACGGCCCAGACUCCUACGGGAGGCAGCAGUAGGGAAUCUUCGGCAAUGGGGGCAACCCUGACCGAGCAACGCCGCGUGAGUGAAGAAGGUUGUCGGAUCGUAAAGCUCUGUUGUAAGUCAAGAACGGGUGUGAGAGUGGAAAGUUCACACUGUGACGGUAGCUUACCAGAAAGGGACGGCUAACUACGUG